AUUGAACGCUGGCGGCAGGCCUAACACAUGCAAGUCGAGCGGUAACACAGGGAGCUUGCUCCUGGGUGACGAGCGGCGGACGGGUGAGUAAUGUCUGGGAAACUGCCUGAUGGAGGGGGAUAACUACUGGAAACGGUAGCUAAUACCGCAUAACGUCGCAAGACCAAAGAGGGGGACCUUCGGGCCUCUUGCCACCAGAUUUGCCCAGAUGGGAUUAGCUAGUAGGUGGGGUAAUGGCUCACCUAGGCGACGAUCCCUAGCUGGUCUGAGAGGAUGACCAGCCACACUGGAACUGAGACACGGUCCAGACUCCUACGGGAGGCAGCAGUGGGGAAUAUUGCACAAUGGGCGCAAGCCUGAUGCAGCCAUGCCGCGUGUAUGAAGAAGGCCUUCGGGUUGUAAAGUACUUUCAGCGGGGAGGAAGGUGUUGAGGUUAAUAACCUCAGCAAUUGACGUUACCCGCAGAAGAAGCACCGGCUAACUCCGUGCCAGCCGCCGCAGUAA
rnacentral:rRNA from 1 species